rnacentral:rRNA from 1 species
GACGAACGCUGGCGGCGUGCUUAACACAUGCAAGUCGAACGAAGUGGCGAACGGGUGAGUAACGCGUAAUCAACCUGCCCUUCAGAGGGGGACAACAGUUGGAAACGACUGCUUAUACCGCAUAUCGUUGGAGGGGAUUGCGUUUGAUUAGCUAGUUGGAGGGGUAACGGCCCACCAAGGCGAUGCUCAGUAGCCGGUUUGAAAGGGUGAACAGCCCCAUUGGGACUGGAACACGGCCCAGACUCCUACGGGAGGCAGAAGUGGGGGAUCUUCCGCAAUGGACGGAAGUCUGACGGAGCAACGCCGCGUGAGUGAUGACGGCCUUCGGGUUGUAAAGCUCUGUUAAUCGGGACGCGGUACCGGAAUAGAAAGCCACGGCUAACUACGUGCCAGCAGCCGCGGUAAUAC